CCUACGGGAGGCAGCAGUGAGGAAUAUUGGUCAAUGGACGCAAGUCUGAACCAGCCAUGCCGCGUGCAGGAAGACGGCUCUAUGAGUUGUAAACUGCUUUUGUACGAGGGUAAACUCAGAUACGCGUAUCUUUCUGAAAGUAUCGUACGAAUAAGGAUCGGCUAACUCCGUGCCAGCAGCCGCGGUAAUACGGAGGAUUCAAGCGUUAUCCGGAUUUAUUGGGUUUAAAGGGUGCGUAGGCGGUCGGAUAAGUUAGAGGUGAAAUCCCGAGGCUCAACUUCGGAAUUGCCUCUGAUACUGUUCGGCUAGAGAGUAGUUGCGGUAGGCGGAAUGUAUGGUGUAGCGGUGAAAUGCUUAGAGAUCAUACAGAACACCGAUUGCGAAGGCAGCUUACCAAGCUACUUCUGACGUUGAGGCACGAAAGCGUGGGGAGCAAACAGGAUUAGAUACCCCUGUAGUC
rnacentral:rRNA from 1 species